CAUUUAUACAACUUUAAGUCUUUUUUUCAGUGGUACCAAAAUAUGCCCUAAUAUAUACGCCAAUGAAUUGAUAUUGAAGAUUGCUAACAAUUUUCAUUUUCUAUAUUCUUUCCUAUAGAUUAUUCUAUUUGAUGACUCUCCAUCUCAAACAUAAUAGGAGUGUGCUUCCCCUCUGGGUUUCAUAAAUUUCCAUUGGCAGAAAUGAUUUUCCCUGUCUGGAAAUAUUGUCUGUGCUAACCAAAGUAUUUGCUCUCUCAAUUUAGAUUUUGAAGUUGGGAGAAGUGGCAAAACGUGAAAAGCAAGAAGCAAAUAUUACCAGAGACACCUAUGAAAAAGAAAUCUUUCUGAAGAACAUUUUUAAAGUGCCAUAAUCUGUUCGGUGAAUCCUAAGGCUGAAAGAGACUGAGUAACAGCUAUUAAGUAAGGUGAAAAUGCUAUUUUACAUGGAAACCUAUUUUGUUCCAUAAAACUAAAUAAACCAUAACCCAGAAGUGCAAUGAGACACACACAGCAUGACCACAUUAUUUCUGAAAGCUGAAGAGUUGCCAGUCUGUUGAUCUCAAAUUUCAUGAACCACACAGUUCAGUUCAAAUUGUUUCCCUGAAAUUGCUUUGAGCCUCUGCCAAACAGCCACUGAAGGACUCCGAAAAAUACAAGAACUGAAAGGGGCACAUGGCAGAUACAAUCAUAAACUUUCAUUUCGGAGAGCAGUAAAAAAGGAGAAGAAGAACACACUGGUACUCCAACAAGUCAUAGUUUCUGCCAGAUGUUGCAAAAAUCAAAUGUCCACAGAAACCCAAUCAGCAACACUACUUUCAAAGUGUCUUUUGACAAGUAAUAUGUGCAUUUUACAAAUCCAAAGGCAAUAUUUGAAGUAGCUCUUCAAAACAGCUGCAUUACUCAAAGCUAUCUCUGUAUCAUCACCUUGUUUCCUGGAAGAAAAUGUGGAAAUGUGUACUGAAAAUGUGUAAAUGAUUAAAGCAUCAGUAUAAAGAAAAAACAUUCUGAAGAUGAAUAACAAUUAUUUCGAGGGCUUGUUGAAAAACCAAACACCAGAU
rnacentral:lncRNA from 1 species